UACGUAGGGUGCAAGCGUUGUCCGGAAUUAUUGGGCGUAAAGGGCUCGUAGGCGGUCCAUCGCGUCGGGAGUGAAAAGCUGGGGCUUAACCCCAGUCCUGCUUCCGAUACGGGUGGACUAGAGGUAGGUAGGGGAGAUCGGAAUUCCUGGUGUAGCGGUGAAAUGCGCAGAUAUCAGGAGGAACACCGGUGGCGAAGGCGGAUCUCUGGGCCUUACCUGACGCUGAGGAGCGAAAGCGUGGGGAGCGAACAGG
rnacentral:rRNA from 1 species